UUCCGGUUGAUCCCGCCGGAGGCUACCGCUAUUGGAGUUCGAUUAAGCCAUGCGAGUCGCGAGUCUUAGGGACUCGGCGUACCGCUCAGUAACACGUGGGUAACCUGCCCUAUGCUGGGGGAUAACCUCGGGAAACUGAGAAUAAUACCCCAUAGUUCACCACGCCUGGAACGGUGGGUGGAUGAAAGCUCCGGCGGCAUAGGAUGGGCCUGCGGCGUAUCAGGUUGUAGGGGGUGUAAUGUACCCUCUAGCCAUCUACGCGUACGGGUGUUGGGAGACAUCGCCCGGAGAUGGAUUCUGAGACACGAAUCCAGACCCUACGGGGUGCAGCAGGCGCGAAAACUUGGCAAUGCGAGCAAUCGUGACCAGGGAACUCCAAGUGCAUCGGGUAAGACCGAUGCUUUUCUUGACUCUUCAAAGGUCUUGGAAUAAGGGGUGGGUAAGGACGGUGCCAGCCGCCGCGGUAAUACCGGCGCCUCAAGUGGUAGUCGCUUUUAUUGGGCCUAAAACGUCCGUAGCCGGUUUGGUACAUUCGUGGGUAAAUCAAGGCGCUCAACGUCUUGAAUUCUGCGAGCACGGCCAGACUUGGGACCGGGUGAGGUGUGGGGUACUCUCAGGGUAGGGGUAAAAUCCUGUCAUCCUGAGAGGACCACCUGUUGCGAAGGCGCCACACUAGAACGGAUCCGACGGUCAGGGACGAAGCCUAGGGGCACGAACCGGAUUAGAUACCCGGGUAGUCCUAGGUGUAAACGCUGUGGACUUGGUGUUGGGGAUUCUCCGAGGAUUCUCAGUGCCGAAGCGAAGGUGAUAAGUCCACUGCCUGGGGAGUACGGUCGCAAGGCUGAAACUUAAAGGAAUUGGCGGGGGAGCACCGCAACCUGAGGAUUGUGCGGUUUAAUUGGAUUCAACGCCGG
rnacentral:rRNA from 1 species